UGCGUAGGCGGUUUGGAAAGUCAGAUGUGAAAGCCUAUGGCUUAACCAUAGAACUGCAUUUGAAACUUCCAAACUAGAAUACUGAAGGGGCAGAUGGAAUUAGUGGUGUAGGGGUAAAAUCCGUAGAUAUCACUAGGAAUACCGAAAGCGAAAGCGAUCUGCUGGGAAGUUAUUGACGCUGAGGCACGAAAGCGUGGGGAGCAAACG
rnacentral:rRNA from 1 species